AACAGGGCCCAGCAAACAGUGAGCUUGUGAAUCUCAUAAACACAUGUAGCCAACAAUUAAGAUUGUCACCUUCAUACAUGGACAGAGUCCACUAGUGAGAUUCUAAAUCUCACACAAGGAUGCAGUUCAGAGUUGAAAUUGUGACUGUUUUAUAUGAGGAUCUGGCCUCAGGCUGGAUGAUGUUUAAACUUCCCCUUGUAAUUUUUCUUACAGCAAUGUAAUUUUCCAUUUUGGCCAAGGACAAUUUUUUUUUCAGACAAAGUUAUGAUUGUGGAGAAACAUUGAUUUAGACAUAUGGAAUCUGUUUCCUUUUUCAUAGAGCAUGAACAAAUACAACAUUAUACAUUUAUCUUACCUAAGUUGUUCUCUUUCAAAAACAUUAAUAUAAUAAAACAUUGAAAAUUGUCUCAAUUUAUCCAAAAUACGUAAAUAUGCUUAAUUUAAAAAACAGUUUUCCAAAACAACUGUCUUUUGCCAAUAUUCAAGAAGCCCCAGAAUGUCUUACCCAAAACAAUCAACAAAAGACUGUCAACUAAAAAUUAAGCGAUAGUGCUCAAGUGUAAUUUGUUUUGUUUUCUUUGUUUUAGGGAUGAGGCCUCAUUAUGUUGCUUAGGCUGGAGUGCAGUAGCUAGUCACAAACACAAUCAUGGUGCAUUACAGCCUGGGCUCAAAGGGUCCUCCUGACUUAGCCUCCCGAGCCGUUGGGACUAAAGGGACAUGUCACCACACCCGGCUAUGUUUUUAAAAACCACUUUUACACUAUUGCACAUUUUUGGACACUGGGAACAAACAGAUUUUGACUCUCAAGAAAAAAGUACUUCAUGGCACAUUAAACAAUGAGUGAAUGAGUUUACAAAACACAAGAGGCAGGGUAGUUAUUCCAAAAUGACAAGAAACAACAUUGUGCCUUUGCUUUUGUUUGAAGAGAAAUAAACUGUUUCCACUCAAGUUUUAAAUGCCAAAAUAGCUAAUUACUGUUAAAAUGUCACCAAAAUUAGUAACAUUACUCAGAAAAUCAACUAUCUC
rnacentral:lncRNA from 1 species